UUGUUAUCUCUGCUUUUGCUUUCUGGACACUAAAUUUUGGAGUAAGAAGGGAAAAGAAUUCUCCAUAAAAAAUCACAUUCUUUCCUUUUGUUUACCCCAUUUCCCAAGGAUAGAAUAACGUAUGCCCAAUUCUAACACACCUCCUCCACCGAUCCAUUCUUUAAUUUCAGCCAUUUCCCCAUUUCUUUUCCUGCAGUGCUUUUCAAUUUUGACACAAAAAAAAAAUGCAGGAAAAGGACCAUCUUCAUCGUCCGGGGAUUUGCCAGAGGAUGUUCAACUUCAUUACCGAGCUCAUUUUUCCUAGCUUGAAGCGCAUCACUGACCAUGCCGCUUCUGUUCAUGACCCUUUGGUGAAUGGUGUGGGCUCUAUGGAUCAACACCAACAACCCAAAAGCCUUUCAAAUCCCGAAGAUGAUUUUUCAGAGUCUGCAAUUGAGAUUCAUUUCGAGCAAACUGAAGAAGAUUUGGAGCACUGGACUCCUAUUGACAAGCUUGGUUCUUCAGUCCAUGGUGAGCAGUAUGAUCAGCCCCAAUUCAAGAAAGGCAACAACAUUUCUAGCUCUUCAUCUGCAUUUGCCCCGGCGAACGGCAAUCUACCCUCUGACAAGUUUACAGGGAAGAGAAGUGAAGUCACCGAGCCGCCCAGGAAGAAGGAGUUCCAGCUCCCUAUAGUUGAUGUGAAUGGUAAUGGUAGCUCCCAACAUCAAGUGACGAAGAGAGCUGAUCAACCACCACAACAACAACAAAGAGGAGAGAGAAAGCCCAAUUUGAUAAGCUUGGCUCAAGGAAGAGGCCCGCAGAAUGUUGUUAGCAGAAAUAAGAGUACAGAGAACAAAACAAGUGAAAUUUUGACAGUGCCAAUAGAGACCCAGAAGUCGAGAUUGAGGCAUCCGACACAUCUACUAGAUGUAGCCCCUAAUAUUAAUGAAAAAACGGAUGCCUACCUCAAAAGAAGGCUUGAAGCUAUGAGAAAAAGUCAUGGCUCAGAACGAGAAGAAUCCUGAUCUGUAUCCGUAUGGUGGCAGGGUACCUCUACCUUCUCUUCUUCUUCUUCUUCUUUCCCUUCCACAUUUCGGGUCUAUCCAACCCAGACCCGGCAACUAUCCAAUCAUUUUUGUCAAACCCAUCUCCCCUUGCAACCAUACCUGCAUUCCCAGAACAGUCCAAUGUUGAAGGCUGUCCGUUAGACCUGCCGGAUGAACUCUUCCACGGCAUAAAAACUGCAUGUGGGAGUGGUGGAAAUAGACAGCUACACAAGAGCCGGUGCUGCCCGGUUCUUGCAGCUUGGCUGUACUCUGCCUACUCUGCCACUGCACUUGGUACGGAUGGCAGAGUAGCCCCAGCAGUGGGAGGUCAUACUACCCCAUCAUAUGACCUGCCACUUCUCCCAGAUGACUCAGAAACUUGUGUGGAUGAUCUGGGUAAGGCCUUGAAAGAAAAAGGGAUAGAGUUGGUUAAACCAAAUGAGACUUGUGACGUGAUUUAUUGUUAUUGUGGAAUUCGAUUGCACCCAUUGAGCUGCCCUGAGGCAUUUUCUACUAACCAAAAGGGGAAGCUUGUUGGGGAUAAGAGGGUUAAGAAGUUAGAGAGGGAUUGCUUGAGUAGCAGUGGCAAUGUGAAUCAAUUCCCUGGUCUCGGUGGGUGCUCCAAGUGCUUAAACAGCCUCUAUUCGCUUAACAACAAGAAGACUUUGAACUCAAGCAAAUCAGAGGACAGGACCACCAAAAUGCACAACAAAGAUUGCCAAUUGAUGGGUCUCACAUGGCUGCUUGCGAAGAAUCGAACAGCUUACAUACGCACAGUUUCUGCAGUUUUACGCGCAAUGAUGAUGAAUGUGGAUGGAUCAAAUCCUCAGUCCUGCACUCUCAACAGUGAUGGUAUGCCUUUGGCUGUUGAUUCUUCUGAAAUUUCCAGCAAUUCUUUGUCAAUCUCCCAUCAAGCACCCAUCUUUAUAUCUAUUGUUGUUUUUGUAAUCUGUUUGUUACAUUUGCUUCUCUUUGUACCUUCCACCAAAUUUUAGAUGAUGGCUUUAAUCUAGUGAAUUGUUGUUGAUGGUGGUGGUUGGAACUAUGAU
rnacentral:misc_RNA from 1 species